AUUGAACGCUGGCGGCAGGCCUAACACAUGCAAGUCGAACGGUAACAGGAAGAAGCUUGCUUCUUUGCUGACGAGUGGCGGACGGGUGAGUAUGUCUGGGAAACUGCCUGAUGGAGGGGGAUAACUACUGGAAACGGUAGCUAAUACCGCAUAACGUCGCAAGACCAAAGAGGGGGACCUUCGGGCCUCUUGCCAUCGGAUGUGCCCAGAUGGGAUUAGCUAGUAGGUGGGGUAACGGCUCACCUAGGCGACGAUCCCUAGCUGGUCUGAGAGGAUGACCAGCCACACUGGAACUGAGACACGGUCCAGACUCCUACGGGAGGCAGCAGUGGGGAAUAUUGCACAAUGGGCGCAAGCCUGAUGCAGCCAUGCCGCGUGUAUGAAGAAGGCCUUCGGGUUGUAAAGUACUUUCAGCGGGGAGGAAGGGAGUAAAGUUAAUACCUUGGCUCAUUGACGUUACCCGCAGAAGAAGCACCGGCUAACUCCGUG
rnacentral:rRNA from 1 species